rnacentral:rRNA from 1 species
GAUGAACGCUGGCGGUGUGCCUAAUACAUGCAAGUCGAGCGAACGGACGAGAAGCUUGCUUCUCUGAUGUUAGCGGCGGACGGGUGAGUAACACGUGGAUAACCUACCUAUAAGACUGGGAGAACUUCGGGAAACCGGAUCUACUACCGGAUAAUAUUUUGAACGGCAUGGUUCAAAAGUGAAAGACGGUCUUGCUGUUACUUAUAGAUGGAUCCGCGCUGCAUUGGCUAGUUGGUAAGGUAACGGCUAACCAAGGCAACGAUGCAUAGCUGACCUGAGGGGGCUAUCGGCCACACUGGAACUGAGACACGGUCCAGACUCCUACGGGAGGCAGCAGUCGGGAAUCUUCCGCAAUGGGCGCAAGCCUGACGGAGCAACACCGCGUGAGUGAUGAAGGCCUUCGGAUCGUAAAGCUCUGUUAUUAGGGAAGAACAUAUGUGUAAGUAACUGUGCACAUAUUGACGGUACCUAAUCAGAAAGCCACGGCUAACUACGUG